CGGCUCUGCAGGUCGGCCUCCCAGCCUCCUGCGAAAAAGAACAAACCCAACCAAACACGAGACCUGGUUGCAACAUUUUCCGCCAGCUUUAGCGGAGGAGCGGAGGAGCGCUCUCAUCAGAAUGUUUUGGUUUGCUGAGAACACGUGCACCUCUUCCUUGAGAGACAGAACCCUUUUUGUGCAAUGACCUCAACAGCCCUUUCCCUUCACCUGCAGGUGGGGAGGACGGAGAGGCAGCUCCUUUGGAAAGAGGAGAAAACCCAGGUACAGAGACGUCUGGUAACUUUCCUGAGAUGUUCAGCAGAAGCAACGGAGCUAAGAUGGAAAUCCAGUCCACAGGAUUAUCCAGCUUUCCGUCAGGUGACAAAUGCCUGAGAAGAACACUCAGAGGACAAGGGAAAAGUCCGAGUCUCGGCUUCAGAGGUUCAGUCCGUGGUGUCUGCUCCCUUGCUCUGGGCCUGAGGUGAGGCAGGACAUCACGGCAAACAGCACGGUGAGGAAAGCUCUCAGCUCAUGGCAGCCAGGAAGCGAGAGAGGGACGGGCCAAGGGAGAAAUAUAAAGCCCCAGGACACCCCCAGCGGCCCACUUCCUUCAACCAGGUGCCAGCUCCUGCAGUUCCCAGGGAUGGCGUCCAGUGAUUACCCACUGAUGAGCUCAGAGCCCUCCCCACGUCACUCCCCAGGAACAGGGCUGCACUGGGGACCAAGCCUGCAGCACAUGUGGGGGUCACUUAUCUCCAAACCAUAAUGGACAUUUUCUGAUACUCUUCAGCACGUCAUUCCUUCAUAAAACUGAAAAAUAAAGUGAGUAAAAUAUCACGUGUGGGUCCUCGGUCCCUGGCGUAAGCAUUGAUCUAUCUGUGAAGGAAAGAGCACAUUUUCUUUAUUUUCUGGUAGUAAUUCAUCAUUUAACCUAAAUAAUAU